rnacentral:rRNA from 1 species
UGCCAGCAGCCGCGGUAAUACGGAGGGUGCAAGCGUUGUUCGGAAUUAUUGGGCGUAAAGAGCAUGUAGGCGGACUGUUAAGUCUGGCGUGAAAGCCCGGGGCUCAACCCCGGAAGUGCAUUGGAAACUGGCGAACUUGAGUACGGGAGAGGAAAGUGGAAUUCCGAGUGUAGGGGUGAAAUCCGUAGAUAUUCGGAGGAACACCAGUGGCGAAGGCGGCUUUCUGGACCGAUACUGACGCUGAGACGCGAAAGCGUGGGGAGCAAACAGGAUUAGAUA